rnacentral:rRNA from 1 species
AGCUCCAAUAGCGUAUAUUAAAGUUGCUGCAGUUAAAAAGCUCGUAGUUGGAUUUGUGGCGCGGCCGUCCGGCGGGGGUCCUUCUAUGGUCUCGUUUGUCCUGGUUUUCGGCCGCCCCUUUCUCGGGUAGAGCGUAAUGGCUGGCAUUAGGUUGUCGGCCGCUUCGCGCCCGUCGUUUACUGUGAAAAAAUUAGAGUGCUUCAGGCAGGCAAUCGCUUGAAUACUCCAGCAUGGAAUAAUGGAAUAGGACUUUGGCCUAUUUGUUGGUUUGAGGUCAGAGUAAUGAUUAAUAGGGACAGUUGGGGGCAUUCGUAUUUAAUUGUCAGAGGUGAAAUUCUUGGAUUUAUUAAAGACGAACUUAUGCGAAAGCAUUUGCCAAGGAUGUUUUCAUUAAUCAAGA